rnacentral:rRNA from 1 species
GACUCGUCACACUAUCAUUAACUGAAUCCAUAGGUUAAUGAGGCGAACCGGGGGAACUGAAACAUCUAAGUACCCCGAGGAAAAGAAAUCAACCGAGAUUCCCCCAGUAGCGGCGAGCGAACGGGGAGGAGCCCAGAGCCUGAAUCAGCAUGUGUGUUAGUGGAAGCGUCUGGAAAGGCGCGCGAUACAGGGUGACAGCCCCGUACACAAAAGCGCAUGUGCUGUGAGCUCGAUGAGUAGGGCGGGACACGUGGUAUCCUGUCUGAAUAUGGGGGGACCAUCCUCCAAGGCUAAAUACUCCUGACUGACCGAUAGUGAACCAGUACCGUGAGGGAAAGGCGAAAAGAACCCCGGCGAGGGGAGUGAAAAAGAACCUGAAACCGUGUACGUACAAGCAGUGGGAGCACAGGUUUACCUGUGUGACUGCGUACCUUUUGUAUAAUGGGUCAGCGACUUAUAUUCUGUAGCAAGGUUAACCGCAUAGGGGAGCCGGAGGGAAACCGAGUCUUAAUUGGGCGUUAAGUUGCAGGGUAUAGACCCGAAACCCGGUGAUCUAGCCAUGGGCAGGUUGAAGGUUGGGUAACACUAACUGGAGGACCGAACCGACUAAUGUUGAAAAAUUAGCGGAUGACCUGUGGCUGGGGGUGAAAGGCCAAUCAAACCGGGAGAUAGCUGGUUCUCCCCGAAAGCUAUUUAGGUAGCGCCUCGUGAAUUCAUCUCCGGGGGUAGAGCACUGUUUCGGCUAGGGGGCCAUCCCGGCUUACCAACCCGAUGCAAACUGCGAAUACCGGAGAAUGUUAUCACGGGAGACACACGGCGGGUGCUAACGUCCGUCGUGAAGAGGGAAACAACCCAGACCGCCAGCUAAGGUCCCAAAGUCAUGGUUAAGUGGGAAACGAUGUGGGAAGGCCCAGACAGCCAGGAUGUUGGCUUAGAAGCAGCCAUCAUUUAAAGAAAGCGUAAUAGCUCACUGGUCGAGUCGGCCUGCGCGGAAGAUGUAACGGGGCUAAACCAU